rnacentral:lncRNA from 1 species
ACAAAAAAGGAGAGUAAUAAAAUUUCAAGGCUGAAGCAAAUGCAAAUAAAUAAAGGGGAGAGAAAUACUUGCAUCAUCAUCCCCUGGCUGCCACCCUGAUAAUUAAACAACACCAUCAUCAAUCAAACAUUUAUAUUUGCCCCAAAAUAAAAUAAAAAUCAAACAUUAUGUUGUAAAAUGAUUUUUUCAUCCUAACAAUAUUACUAGGUAAUAUUAUUCUAUGUUUCUUUGGCUCUGAGAAUGCUACAUUUGAACCCCCAACACAAAGGAAAAGCUUUU